CGACGCCGCGUGCGGGAUGAAGGCCUUCGGGUUGUAAACCGCUUUCAGUAGGGAAGAAGCGAAAGUGACGGUACCUACAAAAGAAGCACCGGCUAACUAUGUGCCAGCAGCCGCGGUAAUACAUAGGGUGCAAGCGUUGUCCGGAAUUAUUGGGCGUAAAGAGCUCGUAGGUCGUUUGUUACGUCGGAUGUGAAAACCUGAGGCUCAACCUCAGGCCUGCAUUCGAUACGGGCAAACUAGAGUUUGGUAGGGGAGACUGGAAUUCCUGGUGUAGCGGUGGAAUGCGCAGAUAUCAGGAGGAACACCAAUGGCGAAGGCAGGUCUCUGGGCCAAUACUGACACUGAGGAGCGAAAGUCUGGGGAGCGAACAGGAUUAGAUACCCUGGUAGUCCAGACCGUAAACGGUGGGCACUAGUUGUGGGAACCUUCCACGGUUUCUGCGACGCAGCUAACGCAUUAAGUGCCCCGCCUGGGGAGUACGAUCGCAAGAUUA
rnacentral:rRNA from 1 species